UCUCCGUAGGUGAACCAGCGGAGGGAUCAUUACCGAAUGGUCUAUGUCCUUUCACUUUAUCAAACUUGUGGACUUUGAAAACUGCGCCUCGGCUCUGCUCAGGUGACGUCGCUCUUUUGCGGAAAGCCGGAUUUAGUCUGACCAAUCAUCAAGAUUAAAUACUUUCAACAAAGGAACUCUCGGCACCCGCACCGUUGAAGAACGCAGCAGAUCGGAACAGAACACGUCUGAACUGCAGUCAUCAUUACUCCAGUCGCAUGACGCCAUCUGCUAGAAAAA
rnacentral:misc_RNA from 1 species